rnacentral:lncRNA from 1 species
UGGGAAGAUCAUUGUCAGCGCCAUGAGGUAAAAGUCAUCGUUUAAUCCAAUAAAAAUCUGAUGGCGAUCAUGGAGAUCAAGCCAAUAUGGUGGUGAUCCUCGAUCACGGCCAGCACCGAGUGCAAGGCGUAUGAUCUUUCUACUCUUUUGGAUCUCACAACGGCCUUGGAGAUCAGGCCAUCGCUGCGGUGGUCCUCAGUUACAGUUGGCACUAGAGUUCCAAUGAGAGAGGGAGGAA